GACGAACCGUGCGAACGUUGUUCGGAAUCACUGGGCUUAAAGGGCGCGUAGGCGGGCUCACAAGUCAGGGGUGAAAGCCCACGGCUCAACCGUGGAAGUGCCUUUGAUACUGUGGGUCUUGAGGGAGGUAGGGGCGUGCGGAACUUCCGGUGGAGCGGUGAAAUGCGUAGAUAUCGGAAGGAACACCAGAGGCGAAGGCGGCUACCUGGACAAUUGCUGACGCUCAGGCACGAAAGCGUGGGGAGCAAAAGGG
rnacentral:rRNA from 1 species